UACAGAGGGUGCGAGCGUUAAUCGGAAUUACUGGGCGUAAAGCGUGCGCAGGCGGUCAUGUAAGUCGGGUGUGAAAGCCCCGGGCUCAACCUGGGAAUUGCAUUCGAGACUGUGUGGCUAGGGUGUGGAAGAGGGAAGCGGAAUUUCCGGUGUAGCGGUGAAAUGCGUAGAUAUCGGAAGGAACACCAGUGGCGAAAGCGGCUUCCUGGUCCAGCACCGACGUUCAGGCACGAAAGUGUGGGGAGCGAACAGG
rnacentral:rRNA from 1 species